rnacentral:tRNA from 1 species
GAGAAGUUAGUCCAAACAAGACAGUUGAUUUCGACUCAACAGAUUGUGGUUUAUUCCACAGCUUCUUU